GAUGAAGAACGUAGCGAAAUGCGAUAAGUAAUGUGAAUUGCAGAAUUCAGUGAAUCAUCGAAUCUUUGAACGCACCUUGCGCCCUUUGGCUAUUCCGAAGGGCAUGCCUGUUUGAGUAUCGUGAACACCUCAACUCUCAUGGUUUGCCAUGAUGAGCUUGGACUUGGGGGUUUUGCUGGCCUUCGGUCGGCUCCUCUCAAACGGAUCAGCUUUCCAGUGUUUGGUGGCGUCACGGGUGUGAUAACUAUCUACGCCUGUGGUUUUCUGCCAGAUAACCUUCAGCGAUGGAGGUUCGCUGGGGCUCAUAAAUGUCUCUCUUCAGUGGAGACAGCUUUUUGGACGUUUGAUCUCAAAUCAGGUAGGACUACCCGCUGAACUUAAGCAUAUCAAAAGCGGAGGA
rnacentral:misc_RNA from 1 species